ACCCUAUUUCUUUGAUAACCGCACAUCAAUCUCCCAUAUUUUCUCCUCCUUUCACGGCACAAAGUUCCCCAUCUCCCUUUUCCUUCAUAUUUCUUGUCCUGCUCUCUCUUUCUUUCCGAGAUAUUUUUUCUCUUAUUUCCUUCUCCAUUGCUUCUUAAUAUUGCUACCCUUCAGUAUCGUUUGAUUAAAUUUUUUUUUUUUCUCUCGAUCUGCUAUUUAGCAGGUAUAUUUGACGGGGUGUGAAGAAUUUGAAGUGAAAUUGGUUAUAAAUCUCUUGGUUGUGUUCUUUAUUUAUCUUUUCUGUUUUAUUUUUGUAUACAUUAGAUGAUGAAUUUCAUCAUGAAUCCAGAUUGGAUGAAUUAGGUUUGAUUUUUCUGUUUGUUUUGCAGGUUUUGUAUGCUAUUCGUAUUGCGAUGGGUGGAUGUUUAUCCUCGUUUCUUUUCAUAAAUAGAUCAAAGAAUGGAUCAUGGAAGAUGCAUCAUUUUGGUGUAUUUGUAGAAAUUGAUCAUGGAAGACGCAUCAUUUUGUUGUUGGGAAUCAAAAGACCGGGUGCUGAUUAAAUAUAAGAAAGUUUUCAAACUUUUUUCAUUAAUUUUCCUUAGAUAUAAGUUUUGCUAUAGUCCCUUAUGUACUACUUUCUGAUUUUUAUUUGUAAUUAUCCAUCAUGUGUCGAUCGAAGUUUUUUUUUUUUUUUUUUUGGUAACUAUCAAUCGAAGUUUAAUCUUGUAUAUCUAAAGAGUUUUGAAUGAAAAUUAAAUUUUGAUUCUA